UCCCUGGAAGACUAGUUGUUAGGUCACGGCGCUCUCACUGCCGCGGCCCGGGUUUGAUUCCUGGCCAGGGAA
rnacentral:tRNA from 1 species